UACAGAGGUCUCAAGCGUUGUCCGGAUUUAUUGGGCGUAAAGAGCGUGUAGGCGGCCAGAUAGGUCCGUUGUGAAAACUCGAGGCUCAACCUCGAGACGCCGAUGGAAACCAUCUGGCUAGAGUCCGGAAGAGGAGAGUGGAAUUCCUGGUGUAGCGGUGAAAUGCGCAGAUAUCAGGAAGAACACCCGUGGCUAAGGCGGCUCUCUAGUACGGUACUGACGCUGAGACGCGAAAGCGUGGGGAGCGAACAGG
rnacentral:rRNA from 1 species